rnacentral:rRNA from 1 species
GCGUAACAAGGUCUCCGUUGGUGAACCAGCGGAGGGAUCAUUAUCGA